GUUCUAGAUGCUUAGCACAAGGAAUUAGGGCAGGAAUGGAAGAGAUAUUGGUAAUGAAAUGUACUAAGAAUUUCUAGAUUCGCGUACGGAAUGAGGCUUCUGAGGGCAAAACAACCAGUCAGAAAAAUUUACCCCUUUUGCAAUAGAUUGGGAGAUGCAGAUAAAAGUGCUAACUUUCCAACAAAGAAAAGGAGAAAAUAAGAAGGUCCCUGAGCCAACAUCUGUGCCAACUCUUCUCCACUCUGUAUAUGGGAUGCCACAACAGAAAGCUUGAUGAGCGGUGUGCAGGUCUGCACCUGGGAUCCGAACCUGUGACCCCCAGGCUGCCAAAGUGGACCGUGUGAACCCAACCACUAUUCUACCGAGCCGCUCCCUGAGACCUCAGGUUUUUGAACAUAGG
rnacentral:lncRNA from 1 species